GGGCUGGGCAAGGCGGGAGGAGCGCGGACCCAAGAUCGGCUACGCUGCGUCUGCUCAGGCUGCGAGUUCCCGGCUCUGGGGACUCACCUUGCGGAGCUUACCCAGGCGGACUCUCCGCAGCCCCUGAUGGGUGUGUGUGUCAGACCGUUUACUAAACACCAGGACUGUUGUAGGCGACUGUAAGAAAUAAGAAUAUUGCAUGGUUACAAUUCUUGAAUGCUUACCUUGUGUCUUGUUCCUUACUCUACAGAAAUUUUCUAAUCCCGUGGCGAACCCCCGUACUUCAACGUAUGACAUUCUGUAAAUCUACAAAACAGAUGGGUCCCUGCCUUUGAGAAGUUUUUACAAUUUAGUGGGUACUGGACACGGACCUAAUUUAAUUCUCACAUGCCUUCCCUUUCUAAUAAGCUGCAUGUUAUGUAUCCCUAUUCUACAGAUGUGGGGAAUCCGAAAUUUUUAGCUUUUACUGGGACACACAGCUAGCAAGCAACUAAAGCGAGAAUUCCAACCUGAGCUCCAAUCCGAACUAUUUUCAUAAAAGGCAGGAUCCCAGGCUGAGGGAGUUCGAGGUUUGGGAGACAGUUUAGCAGUCGCUGAGUCCAAACAUGUUGUUUUCCUAGAAAAGAAAACUGAGAUCCAGGAAAGGGAAGUGAUUUUCCAAAGACACACCUGUGAAAGGUGAGGAGAACAGCCCAGUGAGGCUGAGGCCACACAAUUAACCCCAGUCUUUGCACUACAACUCUACCAGGGAUCCUGGUUUGGCUCAUUUUCUUUCUUCUGCACCAUGAUUGUUCACCUUUUCAUUACCAGCAACAUACCCAAAGACCUAGCUAUAGACUCGUUGGAAUCUGUUACUUAGCAGCUGUGUGAAUCAAGUGUUCAAUAGGAAUAAUAAGAUGUAUUCAUCUUACCUUUUCAGAACAUUAUGAAGAACAAAUGUGGUAAGACAUAUGAAAAUGCUUUGUAAAGUGUUAGAUGCUUAAUACACAGAAGACAUUGCUUCCAGAUCUGUUUCAACGUACCCCAAGAAUGGAAUAAGUGGAAUAUGCUGGUUUCAUGCACUGUGGCAAGGGGGUCUCAUCUUGGCUAGACUUGAAUAAGUGGAUUUGUUGCCUGGCCUCUGUGGAUGGCUCUUUCUCUGGGCUUUUGUGUAUUUGAUUUUUUAUUUGCUCCAGCAGCCGUGUUGAACCAUGAAAGGACCUCAGGAAUGAAACCCACACACAGCAAAGCAACAAAGUGAAAGAAGCGUGGAUUCCUAAUGCAGGAGGCACUGAACCAAUCAAUACCCACUGCCCUCCAGACCUCCACAUGAAAGAAAAAAACUGCUGUCCUGUAUUCCUUUAAGCCUCUCUGAAACUUGACCCUCUGGCAGGAACAGGUGCCAUUACAUACAGACACUCUCUCUCUUCCAAAUUCACCCUGUCAUAUCAAAGGGAAAACUGAAGUGGUCCACUGUAGACCUGACAGAUGAUCACAAACAGGAAACCAGCAAUCAGAAGUGCCUACUGAGCUCCCUACCCUGACCAUCACCUACAGCUACAUUUUACAGAUACAAAAUCAUUGUUUGUUCAACUUUCAUAUCAAAGGAUGCUAUUAGUUCAUUUCCAAAGGUGGGAAAAUGUUUCAACUUACUUUAUUACUUGUCUGCUACUUACUAUUUUCCCUCCGUUUGCCUGCCUGACUUCUUUUAACUCUUCACUCAACAAAUAUCUACUGACUACUGAGCACUUGCCAAGUGCUAGGCCAGAGCUGGAUGCUGUACUACGGGCAGAUGAAGUGCUAUGGGCAUCCAGAGGUGGAAGAAGAGGGUAUAGCGAAAGGGGAGAAAAGGCUGCAACAAUAUUCACUGAGCCCUGUGCUCCCAGGUCAUCACAUAGACUAUGUCAUUAUUCCUCCUAACCACCCACAUGAGUAAAUAGGGGCUAUUACUGAAGAAACAGAGGCUUACAAAGGUUGAGCAACUUGCCCAAGGUCAUCUAUCACAAGACACUACAAGUCAGACUGCUGAAGAGGGAGUUUCUGCUGAGAAGCUGAAGUGGGCAGCUCAUAUUGGAUAUGAAGGCUUCAAAGGAAUCUAAAUCCUAAUGAUCCCUCUAGAGCCAACAUGCAGCACCAGUUUUCUCUUCCACAUUUGAACUGCUCAUCCACUUCCGGCUCCAAGACCUCACUCUCCAUCUAAACUAGUCCCACGCCAUCCAUAUCUUUCUCCACUAACGCCACCCAAUCACAACCCCACAGCCUCUUAGUCAUGAGUCAUUUUUUAAAAACUGCAAACCAUGUAAUGAGCCAUGGCAAUAUGCAACCCUAAACCUCAACACGUGUUUUCCACAACAAGGCCACAGGUGGCAGAAGCGAGCCUAAGGCCGUAGGACACUAAGGCAGGACUCUCUGGCUUGAGCUUUCCAAAAAGGGAGGUGAGAGAAGGUCUACCUGCGGGAAGUCAUGCUGAAGGCCUGAGGCUGAGUCAAAGAAGGAGCCCCCUGGAGGCUCUGCAGUUCCUGGACUUCAGGUAGAGGAACUCUGCCAUGAACACCUCUGGAAUCGUGUCAUUUUGGGACAAUUAGAGAAUAUCAGUUUUCAGACUGAGUUCUAUGGGAAGGUGCCUGCACAACAAAGGAGAGACGGAAUGGACUUCAGGUCUUCCAAAAUACCCCUCAUGUUCACCAAGUUGCUCUCUGCUCUAAGAUACCAGAUGAGGGGGCCAGUGGGGACUGAAACCCAGUCCCCAGUCUGCUGGCCAAUCCCUUUGCCUGUGAGGCUGCUCUGUCCUACCAGAGAGGGCACUUUUCAUAAUUUGCACCAAGUACAGAAUAGGAUAGUGUAGCUUUACCCUUCUCCCUACCAUCAACCACAGACACAUCAACACAUGCACACAUACAGCCACACAAAUAUACCUACAGGCAUACACAUACAACACAGGCACAUACAUGUUUGCACAAAGUCACAUGUAGACACAAACGCAGAGCACACAGACACAAACACAGGCACAAACCCAUACUUACACUACACACACACACAAACACACACAGACACACAAAUGCAAAUUAAGCCACAAUGUAGCACAUAGAGAUAUAGACACAGACGCAAAUACAGUCACAUAGAGAUAUAGACACACACUUAUACACACAUAUAUGUAAAUAUACAGUCUCAUUCACUUUAUACCACACAUGUAUAAACAUACACAAUUGUAUGUAGACACACAUACACAUAGGUACUCAGACCGCAUAGAUACAUAUGUACACACAUACAAAUAUAUGCACAUACACAGAUAUAUAUAUACACACAUGCAUCUUUAACCAGAACAACUUUACUUUUGUCAGUUUUAUAUGACAGAGUCUUUAAAAAAAGAUUUCAUCUGGCUUGUGUUCUACUAUUAAAAGAGAAAAUGAAUUUGCUUGUUUCAAGGAUUCAUGUUUCUUUCAUUAAUCAAUCAGAUACUUGAUGACAAUAUAUAGAAAUAAAAUGACAGUGAGGAGUAUG
rnacentral:lncRNA from 1 species